GAUUAGAUACCCUGGUAGUCACGCUGUAAACGAUGUCGAUUUGGAGUUUGUUGCCUAGAGUGAUGGGCUCCGAAGCUAACGCGAUAAAUCGACCGCCUGGGGAGUACGGCCGCAAGGUUAAAACUCAAAUGAAUUGACGGGGGCCCGCACAAGCGGUGGAGCAUGUGGUUUAAUUCGAUGCAACGCGAAGAACCUUACCUGGUCUUGACAUCCAUAGGAUUCUGCAGAGAUGUGGGAGUGCCUUCGGGAACUAUGAGACAGGUGCUGCAUGGCUGUCGUCAGCUCGUGUUGUGAAAUGUUGGGUUAAGUCCCGCAACGAGCGCAACCCUUAUUCUUUGUUGCCAGCGAUUUGGCCGGGAACUCAAAGGAGACUGCCGUUGAUAAAGCGGAGGAAGGUGGGGACGACGUCAAGUCAUCAUGGCCCUUACGACCAGGGCUACACACGUGCUACAAUGGCGUAUACAAAGGGAAGCGAAGGUGCGAGCUGGAGCGGAUCUCAUAAAGUACGUCUAAGUUCGGAUUGGAGUCUGCAACUCGACUCCAUGAAGUCGGAAUCGCUAGUAAUCGUAGAUCAGAAUGCUACGGUGAAUACGUUCCCGGGCCUUGUACACACCGCCCGUCACACCAUGGGAGUGGGUUGCACCAGAAGUAGAUAGCUUAACCGCGAGGGGGGCGUUUACCACGGUGUGGUUCAUGACUGGGGUGAAGUCGUAACAAGGUAACCA
rnacentral:rRNA from 1 species